rnacentral:tRNA from 1 species
GCGCCAGUAGCGUAAUGGAUAGCGCAUCGGUCUUCGGAACCGAGUGUUGGGGGUUCGAGUCCCUCCUGGCGUG